ACGAACGCUGGCGGCGUGCUUAACACAUGCAAGUGGAGCGACGAACCAGGCUUCGGCCUGGGGCAAAGCCGCGAACGGGUGAGUAACACGUGGGUAACCUGCCCCGACGACUGGGACAACCCGGGGAAACCCGGGCUAAUACCGGAUGUGCUCCCUGACCUUGGUCAGGUGAGUAAAGGAAGCUUCGGCCUCCGCAUCGGGAUGGGCCCGCGGCCCAUUAGCUUGUUGGUGAGGUAACGGCUCACCAAGGCCGCGAUGGGUAGCUGGUCUGAGAGGACGAUCAGCCACACUGGGACUGAGACACGGCCCAGACUCCUACGGGAGGCAGCAGUGGGGAAUCUUGCGCAAUGCGCGACAGCGUGACGCAGCAACGCCGCGUGGGGAAGAAGGCCU
rnacentral:rRNA from 1 species